rnacentral:rRNA from 1 species
UACAGAGGGGGCGAGCGUUGUUCGGAAUUACUGGGCGUAAAGGGCGCGUAGGCGGCCUUCUAAGUCAGACGUGAAAUCCCCCGGCUUAACCCGGGAACUGCGUCUGAUACUGGGAGGCUUGAGUAUGGGAGAGGGAUGUAGAAUUCCAGGUGUAGCGGUGAAAUGCGUAGAUAUCUGGAGGAAUACCGGUGGCGAAGGCGGCAUCCUGGACCAUAACUGACGCUGAGGCGCGAAAGCUAGGGGAGCAAACGGG